AAUGAACGCUGGCGGCAGGCCUAACACAUGCAAGUCGAACGGACCCUUCGGGGUUAGUGGCGGACGGGUGAGUAACGCGUGGGAACGUGCCCUUUGGUUCGGAAUAGCCUCGGGAAACUGGGAGUAAUACCGGAUAAGCCCUACGGGGGAAAGAUUUAUCGCCAAAGGAUCGGCCCGCGUUGGAUUAGGUAGUUGGUGGGGUAAUGGCCUACCAAGCCGACGAUCCAUAGUUGGUUUGAGAGGAUGAUCAGCCACACUGGGACUGAGACACGGCCCAGACUCCUACGGGAGGCAGCAGUGGGGAAUCUUAGACAAUGGGGGAAACCCUGAUCUAGCCAUGCCGCGUGAUCGAUGUAGGCCUUAGGGUUGUAAAGAUCUUUCAGUUGGGAAGAUAAUGACGGUACCAACAGAAGAAGCCCCGGCUAACUCCGUGCCAGCCGCCGCCGUAA
rnacentral:rRNA from 1 species